GGGAGAAGAUGGCAAGAGUCUGAUUCAAACUUCCAGUCUACCCUUAAAGAUGUGGACCGUGAGCUCAGAGUCCAACUGUAAGGCUAGAACUGAAUCAAGGGAGAGAGCAGUCGUCCUCCACCAGAGAAGAAUAUAUCCAGCUUUGCUUCAGAUGGGCAGGGCAUUGCCAUUAGACUCUCCAAGCAGGUAGCCAAUUGAUUUUCAGGAAUCAUGUGAUCCCUCUUGGCAUGUCUACUUCUGCUUUAAUGACACUAUUGAAGAAGAUGAUGUUUCGAGGAGUCUAAAAAGGCGAGGGAUUGAUGCCUUACAUAUGAAGACUCGGGCAGCUGAGAAAAAGUGCGUGCUUUACCAGGAAAUGAGAAGUCUAAGGGGCCAGUCACACCAAAAGCGUUUAUGGCAGUUGCAGGCGCCUUUUUUGAAUGAUAUUCUAUGGGCAGGGCGCGUUUGCGCGCUGUUUAUGAGCGCCUUGCUGUUUUUUGCCGCCUGCCGCGCACGCACAAGGAGCGCUGAGAGAGGAGAAGCGCCCGACGUCAUUCGCGUCUUUCCAUUGUCCAAUCGAAUGAGGGGAGAGGCGGGCCUUACGUUGUGGUGAGUGAAGUUUACAGUUGCUUUGAAGAACCGGAAUCCACUCGCUCACUCUCUCCUGCGUGUUUGUGCACCUCUCACCCUCAAACAAGGUCAGAGCAAGCGCCCUCUUUUUAAAGUUUCUGCUAAUAUGACAGUUAACAGCAAAAGAGCGCUCACGCUUCAAUAUUUGAUUGACAAGACAGCUGACUCGGUGGUUGCUUAGCAAUAUGAAAAGCCGCGUCGCACUGCUCUUUUUUUUUAAAAAAGGCAGUGCGUCGCGCCUUGCGUUUGCAAGCGUUUAAAGCGCUUUUGGUGUGACUGGCCCCUAACUGAACACCCCAUCAGCAGCAGGCCUCUAACAUUUGUGCUCUAACAUCAAAGACACUGAGCAGCCUGGUGCAAAAGCUGCUCUCAUUCAACACCUCCAACACCUGGAAAGAAAACUACAUCAAGCCAUUGUGAUGUUUCACCCACGUCUAUCGGACAUUGUUCCUGCAGACAACCCCCACUUGUGUCAGGCCCUCCCCAUGCCAAGCAUACAGACACUGGUAUACAAUGAUAAGAGUGAUAAUGAUGAAAAUGUGGAUAAAUAUGAUAACUAGCACUACAGAUUUUUUGUUAAUUUUUAGUCUGAUAUUGUAUUCUGUAAAAAGAAAGAUGUAAAAUGUAUAGUAUAUGUUGCAGCAUAUCAUAGAAACCUUUAUGGUGGUGUAAUAUAAUGUUCGCCUUACUUGUGCAAACAUGAUGUUUUACUAGAUCUGAUUUAUUAUUAAACGUAGGUACUGUUUUUAAGCACACAUAUUCACACUAGUCUGUGUGAGGACAAAAUUGUGUGUUUACCAUUGUGAUGUUACUUAUUUACUGUAAUGUACAAAUGUGGUCAAUGUGUGUAAGGUGUUUUGUUUUUGAAUCCUUUUAAACAAAUACUGUAAAAGUUUGUAAAAAAUAAAAAGUUUUCCACAAUCAGUUAUAGUCAUGAUUUCAGCUAUUGUCACAGCAUACUUUAAAGGUGAAUGAAUAGUGAUGAACUUAAUAAAUGACUUAUACAAUGAUUUUACAGUCAUAAUCCACAAGACAGACUGCCACAUACAUGUUCUUACAUAACCAUUAUAUUGGCUUAAAAUUCUCCCGAACUAAGUUGAUGUGGAUUAAUACUUUUUUCUUCCCAUUAUAUUACCUUUAGUAUUAUAUAGUUCGUUGCUAUGGUGGUUGCUAUGAGGCUGCUAUCACUGAAACCACGUAGCUUGCAUGACGUGUUUUCUUUUUAAAUGACAUUUAACAUUUUCCUACAGAAAACAAAAUUUGAUAACUCAACAAUAUGAUAAUUUUCAACAAUUUCUCAUUCUCAAUUUUGAGAAAUUAGUUUUUUUGGUAGCAGAAGGUUACGGAAGUGCAUUGUGUUGAAGGCGGGGUUUGCGUGUUCUGCUGUUUCGGCGUUGUGGCUAGAAGGGAUACAGCAACAGCAAAAUCUCGCGGAUGAGCGCUGUUAUUAUCCUAAUCCUAU